rnacentral:SRP_RNA from 1 species
GCUGGGCAUGGUGGUGUGUGCCUGUAAUCCCAGCUACUCAGGAGGCUGAGGCAGAAGAAUCACUUGAACCCAGGAGGCAGAGGUUGCAGUGAGCUGAGAUUGCACCAUUGCACUCCAGCCUGGGCAACAGAGUGAGACUCUGUCUCAA